UACGUAGGGUGCGAGCGUUGUCCGGAAUUACUGGGCGUAAAGGGCGCGUAGGCGGCCUCUGCAAGUCGACUGUGAAAUCUCCGGGCUUAACCCGGAAAGGUCAGCCGAUACUGCAGGGCUAGAGUGCAGAAGGGGCAACUGGAAUUCUCGGUGUAGCGGUGAAAUGCGUAGAUAUCGAGAGGAACACCUGCGGCGAAGGCGGGUUGCUGGGCUGACACUGACGCUGAGGCGCGAAAGCUAGGGGGAGCGAACGGGG
rnacentral:rRNA from 1 species